rnacentral:rRNA from 1 species
GGGGAAUAUUGCACAAUGGGGGAAACCCUGAUGCAGCGACGCCGCGUGAGUGAAGAAGUAUUUCGGUAUGUAAAGCUCUAUCAGCAGGGAAGAAAAUGACGGUACCUGACUAAGAAGCCCCGGCUAACUACGUGCCAGCAGCCGCGGUAAUACGUAGGGGGCAAGCGUUAUCCGGAUUUACUGGGUGUAAAGGGAGCGUAGGUGGUUCGGUAAGUCAGAUGUGAAAGCCCGGGGCUCAACCCCGGGAUUGCAUUUGAAACUAUCGAACUAGAGUGCAGGAGAGGUAAGUGGAAUUCCUAGUGUAGCGGUGAAAUGCGUAGAUAUUAGGAGGAACACCAGUGGCGAAGGCGGCUUACUGGACUGUAACUGACACUGAGGCUCGAAAGCGUGGGGAGCAAAC